rnacentral:rRNA from 1 species
UACGUAGGGGGCAAGCGUUGUCCGGAUUUAUUGGGCGUAAAGAGCGUGUAGGCGGUUAGGUAGGUCCGUUGUGAAAACUCGAGGCUCAACCUCGAGACGCCGAUGGAAACCAUCUAACUAGAGUCCGGAAGAGGAGAGUGGAAUUCCUGGUGUAGCGGUGAAAUGCGCAGAUAUCAGGAAGAACACCCAUGGCUAAGGCGGCUCUCUAGUACGGUACUGACGCUGAGACGCGAAAGCGUGGGGAGCGAACAGG